rnacentral:tRNA from 1 species
GAGGUUGUGACUCAGUGUUAGAGCACUUGCCUUGCAUGUUUGAGGUACUGGGUUUGAUCCUCAGCACCACA